CCUGCGUCCGGACCCCGGGACUGUAGAGAGGGGUCAGUGUGGACAGACGGAGCUCAGGAGGAUUGAGCAGAAUUCAGGGAAUGUUUGAACUCAGAUUGUGGGAAAAUCUUCUGGCAGGAUUGAUCAGGGGCUCAAAAGAAACUGUCCACAGGAGGGAGGUAUUGAGCAGCUACAGGGAUUAACUUAAAUUGGAGAUAAAGCUUGAUCGACUGUGGAUAGUGUCACCUAUGUUCAUGUUCCAGCAACUUCAGAUUGAAUGCAGACCAGCAACAUUUGUUCUGCUCUGAGUGCAAAUGAACAUCUUUUUUCAGAGACAUUUAUUGUUAAUUUACUUUUCUCUCUGCCCUUUUUAUUUCAUGUUUAGUUUAUUUACUUAAUAUGUUUAAUUUUGCCCUCUCACAUCUUUGUAUUACAUGCAUGGGUGUGUAAAAAAUAAUACAAAUAAUACACAUAGAUUAUUUAACCAAACCUUAAUUCAACAACACGAUUGUGUCAUGUAUUAAAAUGCCCACAAGAGAGCGACAAGUGCAGUCUUGUGUAA